UCCCCCAAUAGAUAUAUCCUAGAUGGCACCCGUUUCUUGUGCUACUAGUACUGGUAAUGGUCUUUCCUGUUGAUCAUGGCAACAUAAUCAGUAUGGAGCAGGUAGAAUGUACGAGCACCUCCCAGAAUGACACGCAGAGAACAUAAUCUGAGGCUGGACAUCAGAGCACUGGAAUCCCAAAGUCAGCUGCAGUUGAUGAGUCACUGACUGGAGAGUUGUAUAAAGUUGGAAUGACUCUCAGGGAGCAUGAGGUGGAAUUGGAUAACAUUCAUGCUGAGAUGAAGAGUGUUACGAAGCGGUUUGUCAUUGCUAUUGUUGGGCUGCCUCUUCUGGCAUGGGUUCUGAAGACUUACUGAUAAGGCAGACACCAAGACUGCCCAGAUGGUUUGCCUUGCUCGUAUUGGAUUCCCCUUAACUUAAGAGGAAAGCUAAAGCACACCCGGGUGCUUCAAAGUUGAGGAGAGGGGGAGGGGGGAAUAUAUCACCUUGAAGAUCCAGGAGCCGCGUACCCCUACGGCGACCUUAUCCUUGGUGAUGGCCGGGGUCCACGAUGGGGACUAAGGCUUCCUUGAGCGAGUGCACGUACGCAAUGCGGUCGGCACCAGGCAGCAGCAAGUGCAUCCCGGGGGGCAGCGUCUUCCUGUAUCUGCCGAACCGCUCAACCACGAACAAGUUCUUCUCGGGGACAAUGGCGAAGCCCCAGUUGACGGGUGGGUCUUGCCUGCUCGUCAGACAAAAGAUAAGGAAACGAGCAAUAAUAGUUCAUACUC